GCUUAACACAUGCAAGUCGAACGGGAACCUUUGGAUUCGUCUGAAGGGGAGAGUGGCGAACGGGUGAGUAACACGUGGGUGACCUGCCUCGAAGACGGGGAUAACCACUGGAAACGGUGGCUAAUACCCGAUGGUCUCGAUAAUUCGGUUUAUCGAGUAAAGGCUCCGGCGCUUUGAGAGGGACCUGCUGGCCAUCAGCUAGUUGGUAGGGUAAUGGCCUACCAAGGCAAAGACGGGUAGGGGGCGUGAGAGCGUGACCCCCCACACUGGCACUGGGACACGGGCCAAACUCCUACGGGAGGCAGCAGUGAGGAAUAUUGCGCAAUGAGCGAAAGCUAGACGCAGCAACGCCGCGUGGGUGAUGAAGGCCUUCGGGUCGUAAAACCCUUUUCUGGGGGAAGAGUAAGGACGGUAUCCCAGGAAUAAGCCUCGGCUAACUAUGUGCCAGCAGCCGCGGUAAUACAUAGGAUGCAAGCGUUAUCCGGAUUUACUGGGCGUAAAGAGCGUUGAGGCGGCUACGUAAGUUGGACGUGAAAGCUCCCGGCUUAACUGGGAGAGGCCGUUCAAUACUGCGGGGCUUGAGGACAGCAGAGGGGGGUGGAAUUUCCGGUGUAGUGGUGAAAUGCGUAGAUAUCGGAAGGAACACCAGUGGCGAAUGCGGCCCCCUGGGCUGCUCCUGACGCUGAAGGCGAAAGCUAGGGUAGCGAACGGGAUUAGAAACCCCGGUAGUCCUAGCCGUAAACGAUGGAUACUAGGUGUAGGAGCUUAAAAUUCCUUCUGUGCCGGAGCUAACGCGUUAAGUAUCCCGCCUGGGGAGUACGGUCGCAAGGCUAGGACUCAAAGGAAUCGACGGGGGCCCGCACAAGCAGCGGAGCGUGUGGUUUAAUUCGAUGCAACGCGAAGAACCUUACCAGGGCUUGACAUGUAGGUAGUAGUGAAGCGACAGCGGAACGAUCCUUCGGGAAGCCUACACAGGUGCUGCAUGGCUGUCGUCAGCUCGUGCCGU
rnacentral:rRNA from 1 species